rnacentral:rRNA from 1 species
UACGUAGGGUGCAAGCGUUAAUCGGAAUUACUGGGCGUAAAGCGUGCGCAGGCGGUUGUGCAGGACAGAUGUGAAAUCCCCGGGCUCAACCUGGGACUGCAUUGUGACUGCACGACUUGAGUGUGGCAGAGGGGGUGGAAUUCCACGUGUAGCAGUGAAAUGCGUAGAUAUGUGGAGGAACACCGAUGGCGAAGGCAGCCCUCGGUACGACUGAGACUCAUGCACGAAAGCGUGGGGAGCGAAACAGG